AGGACAGCUCGUUCUGGCUUGCUUUUGUAAGCAUCUUCUGUGUCAUGUCCUUCAGCUACAGGGCUGAAGUAGCUGAGACCAGUCCAUUCACCACUUAGCACCAUGACACCUGUCUUAGCAUUUUUACUGCCUGUGGAUUUCUGAAACUCUUUUUCUUUCUUUCUUUGCAGUCUCCUUCACUGUGUCACGCAGUGACAGCUUCCAUGGAAGUCAAGACAUUUUAUCGGGCGCUUCACGUAUAGGACCCGAAUGUGGAAACUGAGCAGCCCCUGCUAUGACUUAACUUGUGAGAAGUCCUAGUGCGGGCAGUCGUCUGCAUGGAGAAGUCCUAGUGUGGGCAGUCGUCUGCAUGGAGAAGUCCUAGUGCGGGCAGUCAUCUGCAUGGAGAAGUCCUAGUGCGGGCAGUCAUCUGCAUGGAGAAGUCCUAGUGCGGGCAGUCAUCUGCAUGGUUAGUUCCUGGUUUUACGCUUGGGAACAUCUGUUCAGCCUUAACAUAGUACUUUUGGAGCUAAUAAAUCACUGCUUUCACCUUGUCGGGUAUGCCGGUUCAUUUUCUAUAUUUGUUGCUAAUUUUAAUAACUUAAGUGAAAGCCUAUAAUAGGGUACACUUGUAAGACCAGUGCGGGGUGAAGCAGGAGGACAUCCAUGAGUUUACAGCUAGCUUGGGUUACAUAAUGAGAGCCUGCUUCCAAAGAUCCCAAACACACACACACACAC
rnacentral:lncRNA from 1 species